CGGGUGAGUAAUGCAUCGGAACGUACCCGGUAGUGGGGGAUAACUACCCGAAAGGGUGGCUAAUACCGCAUAUACUGUGCGCAGGAAAGCAGGGGACCUUCGGGCCUUGUGCUACCGGAGCGGCCGAUGUCAGAUUAGGUAGUUGGUGGGGUAACGGCCUACCAAGCCUGCGAUCUGUAGCGGGUCUGAGAGGAUGAUCCGCCACACUGGGACUGAGACACGGCCCAGACUCCUACGGGAGGCAGCAGUGGGGAAUUUUGGACAAUGGGCGCAAGCCUGAUCCAGCCAUGCCGCGUGAGUGAAGAAGGCCUUCGGGUUGUAAAGCUCUUUCGGACGGAAAGAAAUCGUGCAGGCUAAUACCCUGCGCGGAUGACGGUACCGUCAUAAGAAGCACCGGCUAACUACGUGCCAGCAGCCGCGGUAAUACGUAGGGUGCGAGCGUUAAUC
rnacentral:rRNA from 1 species